rnacentral:lncRNA from 1 species
CUUUCUGCCACUACACGCCAGUUGGAGCUGGAUCAUCAAGGUGUGGGGAGAAAGCCACAGGGAGCUGAAAAGUUUCCUUGCCAAUACUGAAUGUAGUCCAUCCUCUCCGCUCCUCAUCUGCCUGAAGGUGGAGACAAGGGGAAAGAUGAAGAGAAAGGCAGGUGGUUACAAUAGAAAUCUAAGCAACCGAAGACUCUUCUACUUACCCCUGGCAAUUGAUGAUAUGCUCCGAAGAUGCUCUUGAAGAAGGGCUAGAUGACUGUUGGUGUAUCUCAUGCUGGCCAUGAUGCUUGGAGUCGAUUCGCAAAAUCGUCUGAGUCCAAAAACUCUCUGGAACCUAAGCAGACUCCCAUGGAUCUUUUUUGGUUUAGAUGCUUACCAGUGUACAUGACCUUGGACAAGUCAGUUAAAUCUGUGCCUCAGCUUCCUGGAUGUCAAAAUGAGCACAGUAACACCCCUCCGGAAAGGAUGUUAUAAAGAUACUACGAG